rnacentral:rRNA from 1 species
GACGAACGCUGGCGGCGUGCUUAACACAUGCAAGUCGAACGGAAAGGCCCUGCUUUUGUGGGGUGCUCGAGUGGCGAACGGGUGAGUAACACGUGAGUAACCUGCCCUUGACUUUGGGAUAACUUCAGGAAACUGGGGCUAAUACCGGAUAGGAGCUCCUGCUGCAUGGGGGGGGUUGGAAAGUUUCGGCGGGUGGGGAUGGACUCGCGGCUUGUCAGCUUGUUGGUGGGGUAGUGGCUUACCAAGGCUUUGACGGGUAGCCGGCCGGAGAGGGUGACCGGCCACAUUGGGACUGGGAUACGGCCCAGACUCCUACGGGAGGCAGCAGUGGGGAAUAUUGCACAAUGGGCGGAAGCCUGAUGCAGCAACGCCGCGUGCGGGAUGACGGCCUUCGGGUUGUAAACCGCUUUGGCCUGGGACGAAGCGUGAGUGACGGUAAUGGGUAAAGAAGCACCGGCUAACUACGUG